AUUCUCAGAAGACAAGUGACAUGGAACAA
rnacentral:sRNA from 1 species